rnacentral:lncRNA from 1 species
AAGCCCAACUUUGGUUGGCCAACCCAUAUACAUCUAAGGGUAGAUUCAUAACCAAUUAUUUCUCUAAAUAAUUUCUAGUAAUUUUAAUUUUGCCCCAGAAACCUAAUCAGUGGGCUUUGGCCUCCACUGUAAGGAUCCGGUUAGGUCCUACCAUUAACAUGAUCAUACUUGGUAUAUCUAACCAACGAAUGAUUAAGCCCAACUUUGGUUGGCUCACCUAACCACCAUUAGAG